rnacentral:rRNA from 1 species
UUGAACGCUGGCGGCAGGCCUAACACAUGCAAGUCGAGCGCGAAAGUUCUUCGGAAUGAGUAAAGCGGCGGACGGGUGAGUAACGCGUGGGAAUCUGCCUGGUAGUGGGGGACAACGUUCGGAAACGAACGCUAAUACCGCAUACGCCCUACGGGGGAAAGGGGGGGAUCUUCGGACCUCUCGCUAUCAGAUGAGCCCGCGUCGGAUUAGCUAGUUGGUGGGGUAAAGGCCUACCAAGGCGACGAUCCGUAACUGGUCUGAGAGGAUGAUCAGUCACACUGGAACUGAGACACGGUCCAGACUCCUACGGGAGGCAGCAGUGGGGAAUAUUGGACAAUGGGGGAAACCCUGAUCCAGCCAUGCCGCGUGUGUGAAGAAGGCCUUAGGGUUGUAAAGCACUUUCAGUGGGGAGAAAGGUUGUUUACUUAAUACGUAAGCAAAUUGAUGUUACCCACAGAAGAAGCACCGGCUAACUCCGUGCCAGCCGCCGCGGUAA